AUACGGAGGGGCCGGGCGUUAUCCGGAUUUAUUGGGUUUAAAGGGAGCGCAGGCGGAGAUGCAAGUGUGACGUCAAAUUUCGGGGCUCAACCCCGUCUCGCGUCGCGAACUGCGUCACUUGGUUGCGGGAAGGGGAGGCGGAACUCGCGGGGGUGCGGGGGAAUGCAAAGAUAUCAAGAAAAACUCCGAUCGCGAAGGCAGCCUGCCGUCCCGUCAACGACGCUCAUGGUCGAUGGUGCUGGUAUCAAAGAGGAUAAGAUCUCGUGGUAGGCCCCACAGUAGACGAUUGCCACCCGUGGUUUGGCCUGUGUGGCUCAGCCGCCAAGCGAAAGCAUUAAGUAUCCCGCCUGGGGAGUACGCCGGCAACGCUGAAACUCAAAGGAAUUGACGGGG
rnacentral:rRNA from 1 species